AGCGAACGCUGGCGGCAGGCCUAACACAUGCAAGUCGAACGGAUCCUUCGGGAUUAGUGGCGGACGGGUGAGUAACACGUGGGAACGUGCCCUUUGGUUCGGAACAACUCAGGGAAACUUGAGCUAAUACCGGAUGUGCCCUUCGGGGGAAAGAUUUAUCGCCAUUGGAGCGGCCCGCGUCUGAUUAGCUAGUUGGUUGGGUAAAGGCCCACCAAGGCGACGAUCAGUAGCUGGUCUGAGAGGAUGAUCAGCCACAUUGGGACUGAGACACGGCCCAAACUCCUACGGGAGGCAGCAGUGGGGAAUCUUGCGCAAUGGGCGAAAGCCUGACGCAGCCAUGCCGCGUGAAUGAUGAAGGUCUUAGGAUUGUAAAAUUCUUUCACCGGGGACGAUAAUGACGGUACCCGGAGAAGAAGCCCCGGCUAACUUCGUGCCAGCCGCCGCCGUAAUAC
rnacentral:rRNA from 1 species